CUUUGACGGGUAACGGGGAAUUAGGGUUCGACUCCGGAGAGGGACCUGAGAAACGGCUACCACAUCCAAGGAAGGCAGCAGGCGCGCAAAUUACCCAAUCCCAACAUGGGGAGGUAGUGACAAGAAAUACUGAUAUAGGGUCCUAUAGGAUCUUGUAAUUGGAAUGAGUACAAUUUAAACCCAUUAACGAGGAACAACUAGAGGGCAAGUCUGGUGCCAGCAGCCGCGGUAAUUCCAGCUCUAGUAGCAUACAUUAAAAUUGUUGCAGUUAAAACGCCCGUAGUUGAAGUUUAGGUCCUUAUCAUCUGGUCUGCCUCACCGCUAGUACUGGUAUGAUUGGGCCUUUUUUCUUGGUAAACUGUUAUGCCCUUUAUUGGGUGUGGCAGUGAACUAGGACUUUUACUUUGAAAAAAUUAGAGUGUUUAAAGCAGGCUUUUGCUCGAAUACCUUAGCAUGGAAUAAUGGAAUAUGACGAGUGGUUGUUUUUCAUUGGUUUUCACGACUACCGUAAUGAUUGAUAGGGAUGGUCGGGGGCAUCGGUAUUCGAUCGUCAGA
rnacentral:rRNA from 1 species